CGCGAACGCUGGCGGCAGGCCUAACACAUGCAAGUCGAACGAUCCUUCGGGAUAGUGGCGGACGGGUGAGUAACACGUGGGAACGUGCGCUUUGGUUCGGAACAACUCAGGGAAACGUGCGCUAAUACCGGAUGUGCCCUUGGGGGGAAAGAUUUAUCGCUAUUGGAGCGUCCCGCGUAGUAUUAGCUAGUUGGUGGGGUAAUGGCCCACCACGGCCCCGAUCCUUAGUUGGUCUGAGAGGAUGAUCAGCCACACUGGGACUGAGACGCGGCCCAGACUCCUACGGGCGGCAGCGGUGGGGAAUCUUGCGCAGUGGGCGAAAGCCUGACGCAGCCAUGCCGCGUGAAUGAUGAAGGUCUUAGGAUUGUAAAAUUCUUUCACCGGGGACGAUAAUGACGGUACCCGGAGAAGAAGCCCCGGCUAACUUCGUGCCAGCCGCCGCCGUAACAC
rnacentral:rRNA from 1 species